rnacentral:rRNA from 1 species
GACGAACGCUGGCGGCGUGCCUAAUACAUGCAAGUCGAGCGGACAAAUCGGAAGCUUGCUCUUGAGACGUUAGCGGCGGACGGGUGAGUAACACGUGGACAACCUGCCUUGUAGACGGGGAUAACUUCGAGAAAUCGGUGCUAAUACCGGAUAACAAGAUAUGUCGCAUGACGUUUUGGUGAAAGACGGUGCAAGCGGUCGCUACAGGAUGGGCCCGCGUUGCGUUAGUUAGUGGGUGAGGUAACGGCUAACCAAGGCAACGAUGCGAAGCCGACCUGAGAGGGUGAUCGGCCACACUGGAACUGAGACACGGCCCAGACUCCUACGGGAGGCAGCAGUAGGGAAUCUUCCGCAAUGGACGAAAGUCUGACGGAGCAACGCCGCGUGAGCGAGGAAGGCCUUCGGGUCGUAAAGCUCUGUUGUUAGGGAAGAACAAGUUGCGCAGUAACUGGCCACACCGUGACGGUACCUAACCAGAAAGCCACGGCUAACUACGUG